AGAGCCCUCCAGGCUCCUAAGGGCGAAGCCGACACCUCAUCCCUUUGGAACUUGAAGUUCUCAGUCCAAGACCUCCGUGGAGAGUGAAAGACUCAAUGCCUCCUGACCGAGGCUUCAGGCCUGCCCCGGCAGCUAGGUACCUCUCCAGGGGAUGGAACUCUGUGGGAACUGCUAUUUAAUUCUGAUGGUUAACUCUGUCAGAUGGCCUUGAUAUAUGGGAAUAAUCGUUGCAGGAGGGUAGGGGAAAUAAGAAUCGCAAGACUCUAGCACAGGACGUGUGGAUUGAUGGUGAGGCCUUUGCUCCCUCUCCCCUUGAAAUCCUCAAAGGGCAGUUCCCGAUUUCUAUCACCUUUGAAAUUCAUCCCUGAUGUCUUCUCCAUCUUUGGGAAGUGCAAUGCAAUUUCAAGCUCUUGAAUCUUCCCUCUCCCACAUUUGUCAAAUAUACUGACGCUACAAACUCCUUUCUUACAGGAAACCUGAAACUGCCAUUGAGCAGAAGGAAAACAUCCCUUUCCAGAACCUUUCUCGUUUUUCUAAAAAUCUGCACUUUUGGAAGUGAUCCCCCAAAGAGACCUCCAGACUCUACCAUGAGUGUCUCCAGCUGAACUCAUCGUGUCUAAUCCUCACCCUAGCUUAUCCUGUUCAAAUCAUUUCCAUCUUUUUCUGGAUGAACCUGGGCGGAUGUCAGACCAGAGAAGAGCACAGAAUGUACCAGAGAGGACAACAACUCGGGAUCCACCUAACACGGGUACAAAGAAGGCUGUAACACGGGAAGCAGCUGUUGGGCCAAACCAGCCCUGGAGCUGUAGGCCAGAGCAAGACCACAGGACUGACAGAGCUGUUAACACGCUGACAUCUUUCGGGCUGCAGAGGGCGGGACUGAAAGAGCUAUUAGCAUGUUGUAACACCCACUCUGGGGCUUUGGGGUCACGGGCAUCCCUGUUUGGGUGCCAUCACAUUCCCCUCAUCUGGAUGCCAGAGUCCACCAUAGGAGUCACUUGCAACAUGCCUGGUCCAGCCACAAGUCCCACACAGAGCCUGCUCCUGUGCUGGUGCUUGGAGCUACCAGUGGAACCCCACACUCACUAGCUCACACACCCCUCCUGCCAGGGGCUGAGUGCACAGUCAUGGUGGCCACAGGAUCUGCACCAGAGGACAUGCCAGGCACAGCCCAGCAAACCGAGUAGAUGGGGCAUCUCCUGUGGUUAGCCUGGGCUCCAGCAAGGCCUAGGUAGGG
rnacentral:lncRNA from 1 species